rnacentral:RNase_P_RNA from 1 species
GUGAUGGGUCGCCCCACCGCGGCGCCCAACGCAAGACGGGCGACGAGGAAAGUCCGGGCAACGCAGAGCACCCUGCUUCCUAACGGGAAGGACUGGCGCGUAUAAUGCAAACCAGGACAGCCAGUGCCACAGAAAAUACCGCCUACGUACCAGCUUCGGCCGGUGCCGGUAAGGGUGAAAAGGUGCGGUAAGAGCGCACCAGCGGGCGGGCAACCGUCCCGGCUGGGUAAACCUCAGGGGUUGAAAGACCAAAUAAGCUGGUACGCCGGCGCGGCUUCGGCCGCUUCGGCACCGGGCGGCUCGUCCGGCGCCAGCGGGUAGGUUGAUGGAGCCUUUCCGCGAGGACUGGCCUAGAUAAAUGGUGGGGCAGUGGCUUCGGCCACGGACAAAACCCGGCUUACAGACCCAUCACCUCA